AUGAACGCUGGCGGCGUGCCUAAUACAUGCAAGUCGAGCGAACAGACGAGGAGCUUGCUCCUCUGAUGUUAGCGGCGGACGGGUGAGUAACACGUGGAUAACCUACCUAUAAGACUGGGAUAACUUCGGGAAACCGGAGCUAAUACCGGAUAAUAUAUUGAACCGCAUGGUUCAAUAGUGAAAGACGGUUUUGCUGUCACUUAUAGAUGGAUCCGCGCCGCAUUAGCUAGUUGGUAAGGUAACGGCUUACCAAGGCGACGAUGCGUAGCCGACCUGAGAGGGUGAUCGGCCACACUGGAACUGAGACACGGUCCAGACUCCUACGGGAGGCAGCAGUAGGGAAUCUUCCGCAAUGGGCGAAAGCCUGACGGAGCAACGCCGCGUGAGUGAUGAAGGUCUUCGGAUCGUAAAACUCUGUUAUUAGGGAAGAACAAAUGUGUAAGUAACUAUGCACGUCUUGACGGUACCUAAUCAGAAAGCCACGGCUAACUACGUG
rnacentral:rRNA from 1 species